GACUUGGAAAACGAAAGGGGGAAGGAUUCAAAAUUGGUAUAAAUUGAGAAAAGAAAAGAUUAUAUUCAGAAAACAUUCAAGUAUAACUAGGCAAGAUGGCACACAUCUGUAGUCCCAGCUUCUUGGGAGGCUGAGGCAGGAAAAUGACUUGAGACCAGGAGUUUGAGUCCAGCUUGGGCAACAUAGUGAGACCCCAUCUCAAAAGAAAGAAAGAAGAGCAGUCAAAAACAGGAAUUCUCACACAUUAUGAAUGUGAAGGUAAAUUGGACAAAUCCUUUUAAGAAGACAAUUUGGGAAUUGUCAAUGAAGUAUGUGUAUUUUAGUUAGAUGUGGUGACACAUGCUUGUAAUCCCAGUGACUUGGGAGGAUGAGGCAGGAGGAUCACAAGUUCAAGGCCAGCCUCAGCAACUUAGCAAGAUCUUGUCUCAAAAAAUAUAAAGGCCUGGGGAUGUAGUUCAGUGAUAAAGUAUCCCUAGGUUCAAUCUCCAGUAUAAAUAAUGAUGGUGAUGAUAAUAAUAAUAAAGUAUGUGUGUUAUUUUUGAACAGGCAAUUCCACAUCUAGGAAUUUAUAUGUUGAGAAUAUUUGUGCAAAAAAUUAUGUAAAAAUAUUUGUACAAAAAUAAAUGUUCAAUUGUGUUUACCGAAUAUUGUUCAUAAUAGUAGAAACAUGUAAUGGUGUAAAAAUCUUAGUAAAUCCCAGUAGAUAACUAUUUAAGCAAAUUAUACAAGAUCUGUAGGAUGCCUUCAAUUACCAUUAACAAAAAUAAGAUAGAUUCACUUUGACCUGCAUGGAAGGAUAUCCAAAAUUUCUAGAUGAAAAGAAACUGUAGAAUCAUUUGAGGAGUAUGAUCUCAUUGUUUUUGUAUUAAAAUGUAUAGUUACUCAAGCCUAGAAGAAAUCUGGAAGCAUAUAUGACAAGCUAUUAAUAGUGGUUGCUUCUGGAUGUAGGAUUACUAGGGCCUUUCACUUUCU
rnacentral:lncRNA from 1 species